rnacentral:rRNA from 1 species
UACGAAGGGGGCUAGCGUUGCUCGGAAUCACUGGGCGUAAAGGGUGCGUAGGCGGGUCUUUAAGUCAGGGGUGAAAUCCUGGAGCUCAACUCCAGAACUGCCUUUGAUACUGGCAUUCUCGAGUCCGGAAGAGGUGAGUGGAAUUCCCGGUGUAGCGGUGAAAUGCGCAGAUAUCGGGAAGAACACCCGUGGCGAAGGCGGCUCUCUGGGACGGUACUGACGCUGAGACGCGAAAGCGUGGGGAGCGAACAGG